rnacentral:rRNA from 1 species
AACGAACGCUGGCGGCAGGCCUAACACAUGCAAGUCGAGCGCCCCAGCAAUGGGGAGCGGCAGACGGGUGAGUAACGCGUGGGAACCUUCCCAGUGGUACGGAAUAGCCCAGGGAAACUUGGAGUAAUACCGUAUACGCCCGAAAGGGGAAGAUUCAUCGCCAUUGGAUGGGCCCGCGUCUGAUUAGCUAGUUGGUGAGGUAAUGGCUCACCAAGGCGACGAUCAGUAGCUGGCUGAGAGGAUGAUCAGCCACACUGGGACUGAGACACGGCCCAGACUCCUACGGGAGGCAGCAGUGGGGAAUAUUGGACAAUGGGCGCAAGCCUGAUCCAGCCAUGCCGCGUGAGUGACGAAGGUCUUCGGAUUGUAAAGCUCGUUUUGGCGGGGACGAAUAAUGACGGUACCCGCAGAAUAAGCCCCGGCUAACUUCGUGCCAGCAGCCGCUGUAAG